rnacentral:rRNA from 1 species
GACGAACGCUGGCGGCGUGACUAAUACAUGCAAGUCGAACGCAGUGGGGACGGGUGAGUAACACGUGGGUAACCUCCCAUCAGAGGGGAUAACACUUGGAAACAGGUGCUAAACCGAUACUGAUGGAUGGACCCGCGGUGCAUUAGCUAGUUGGUGAGGUAACGACCAACCAAGGCAACGAUGCAUAGCUGACCUGAAUGGAUGAUAGGCCGAACGAGGACUGAGACACGGCCCAGACUCCUACGGGAGGCAGCAGUGGGGAAUCUGCGGCGAGGGAGGAAAGUCUGACCGAGCGACGCCGCGUGGGUGAAGAAGGUUUUCGGAUCGUAAAACUCUGUUGUGGGAGAAGCGGUAACUGACCAGAAAGCCACGGCUAACUACGUGCCAGCAGCCGCGGUAAUUC